GAUGAACGCUGGCGGCGUGCCUAAUACAUGCAAGUCGAGCGAACGGACGAGAAGCUUGCUUCUCUGAUGUUAGCGGCGGACGGGUAAGUAACACGUGGAUAACCUACCUAUAAGACUGGGAUAACUUCGGGAAACCGGAGCUAAUACCGGAUAAUAUUUUGAACCGCAUGGUUCAAAAGUGAAAGACGGUCUUGCUGUCACUUAUAGAUGGAUCCGCGCUGCAUUAGCUAGUUGGUAAGGUAACGGCUUACCAAGGCAACGAUGCAUAGCCGACCUGAGAGGGUGAUCGGCCACACUGGAACUGAGACACGGUCCAGACUCCUACGGGAGGCAGCAGUAGGGAAUCUUCGGCAAUGGGCGAAAGCCUGACGGAGCAACGCCGCGUGAGUGAUGAAGGUCUUCGGAUCGUAAAACUCUGUUAUUAGGGAAGAACAUAUGUGUAAGUAACUGUGCACAUCUUGACGGUACCUAAUCAGAAAGCCACGGCUAACUACGUG
rnacentral:rRNA from 1 species